AGGAUGAACGCUGGCGGCGUGCCUAACACAUGCAAGUCGAGCGAUCUUCUUCGGAAGAGAGCGGCGGACGGGUGAGUAACGCGUGGGUAACCUGCCCUGUACACACGGAUAACAUACCGAAAGGUAUGCUAAUACGGGAUAACAUAUGAGAGUCACAUGACUUUUAUAUCAAAGCUUUUGCGGUACAGGAUGGACCCGCGUCUGAUUAGCUAGUUGGUAAGGUAACGGCUUACCAAGGCGACGAUCAGUAGCCGACCUGAGAGGGUGAUCGGCCACACUGGAACUGAGACACGGUCCAGACUCCUACGGGAGGCAGCAGUGGGGAAUAUUGCACAAUGGGCGAAAGCCUGAUGCAGCAACGCCGCGUGAGCGAUGAAGGCCUUCGGGUCGUAAAGCUCUGUCCUCAAGGAAGAUAAUGACGGUACUUGAGGAGGAAGCCCCGGCUAACUACGUGCCAGCAGCCGCGGUAAUACGUAGGGGGCUAGCGUUAUCCGGAAUUACUGGGCGUAAAGGGUGCGUAGGUGGUUUUUUAAGUCAGAAGUGAAAGGCUACGGCUCAACCGUAGUAAGCUUUUGAAACUAAAGAACUUGAGUGCAGGAGAGGAGAGUAGAAUUCCUAGUGUAGCGGUGAAAUGCGUAGAUAUUAGGAGGAAUACCAGUAGCGAAGGCGGCUCUCUGGACUGUAACUGACACUGAGGCACGAAAGCGUGGGGAGCAAACAGGAUUAGAUACCCUGGUAGUCCACGCCGUAAACGAUGAGUACUAGGUGUCGGGGGUUACCCCCCUCGGUGCCGCAGCUAACGCAUUAAGUACUCCGCCUGGGAAGUACGCUCGCAAGAGUGAAA
rnacentral:rRNA from 1 species